rnacentral:rRNA from 1 species
UACGGAGGAUCCUAGUGUUAUCCGGAUUUAUUGGGUUUAAAGGGAGCGUAGGCGGGAGGUCAAGUCAGCUGUGAAAUGUAUCUGCUUAACGGGUACACUGCAGUUGAAACUGGUUUUCUUGAGUGCGUAAGAGGCAGGCGGAAUUCGUUGUGUAGCGGUGAAAUGCUUAGAUAUGACGAGGAGCUCCUAUUGCGAAGGCAGCUUGCUGGGUCGUUACUGACGCUGAUGCUCGAAGGUGCGGGGAUCAAACAGGAUUAGA